rnacentral:rRNA from 1 species
GAUGAACGCUAGCGGCAGGCCUAAUACAUGCAAGUCGAGGGGCAUCGCAGUGUAGCAAUACAUGGGCGGCGACCGGCAAACGGGUGCGGAACACGUACAGAACCUUCCUCAGAGCGGGGGCUAGCCCACAGAAAUGUGGAUUAAUACCCCAUGGGAUAGUGGAGUGGCAUCCCUCAGCUAUUAAAGAUUUAUCACUUUGAGAUGGCGGUGCGUCUGAUUAGGUAGUUGGUGAGGUAAAGGCUCACCAAGCCGACGAUCAGUAACUGGUGUGAGAGCACGACCAGUCACACGGGCACUGAGAGACGGGCCCGUAUCCUACGGGAGGCAGCGUUAAGGAAUAUUGGUCAAUUGUCUCAAGUCUGAACCAGCCAUGCCGCGUGGAGGAUGAAGGUCCUCUGGAUUGUAAACUUCUUUUAUCUGGGACGAAAAAGGGACUUUCUAGUUCAACUGACGGUACCAGGUGAAUAAGCACCGGCUAACUCCGUGCCAGCAGCCGCUGUAACAC